GAUGAACGCUGGCGGCGUGCCUAAUACAUGCAAGUCGAGCGAACAGACGAGGAGCUUGCUCCUCUGACGUUAGCGGCGGACGGGUGAGUAACACGUGGAUAACCUACCUAUAAGACUGGGAUAACUUCGGGAAACCGGAGCUAAUACCGGAUAAUAUAUUGAACCGCAUGGUUCAAUAGUGAAAGACGGUUUUGCUGUCACUUAUAGAUGGAUCCGCGCCGCAUUAGCUAGUUGGUAAGGUAACGGCUUACCAAGGCAACGAUGCGUAGCCGACCUGAGAGGGUGAUCGGCCACACUGGAACUGAGACACGGUCCAGACUCCUACGGGAGGCGGCAGUAGGGAAUCUUCCGCAAUGGGCGAAAGCCUGACGGAGCAACGCCGCGUGAGUGAUGAAGGUCUUCGGAUCGUAAAACUCUGUUAUUAGGGAAGAACAAAUGUGUAAGUAACUAUGCACGUCCUGACGGUACCUAAUCAGAAAGCCACGGCUAACUACGUG
rnacentral:rRNA from 1 species